AACGAAUGCUGGCGGCAGGCUUAACACAUGCAAGUCGAGCGCCCCGCAAGGGGAGCGGCAGACGGGUGAGUAACGCGUGGGAAUCUGCCCAUCUCUACGGAAUAACGCAUGGAGACGUGUGCUAAUACCGUAUACGUCCUUCGGGAGAAAGAUUUAUCGGAGAUGGAUGAGCCCGCGUUGGAUUAGCUAGUUGGUGGGGUAAAGGCCUACCAAGGCGACGAUCCAUAGCUGGUCUGAGAGGAUGAUCAGCCACACUGGGACUGAGACACGGCCCAGACUCCUACGGGAGGCAGCAGUGGGGAAUAUUGGACAAUGGGCGCAAGCCUGAUCCAGCCAUGCCGCGUGAGUGAUGAAGGCCCUAGGGUUGUAAAGCUCUUUCACCGGUGAAGAUAAUGACGGUAACCGGAGAAGAAGCCCCGGCUAACUUCGUGCCAGCCGCCGCAGUAACAC
rnacentral:rRNA from 1 species